UUAUUAUUUCUUAGUAACAAUUUGUCAUUAAUAAAAUAAAAAUGAAACAGAAAGAAAAUAAAUUACAACAAUGCUAAUUCAUAGGCAAAACUGUCUAAUAAAAAAAGGUAUGACUGAAUGACAAGGUGAAGAUGAGAAAUGGUUCCCAUCAAUCUAACCUGAAUUCAGUAUGACUGAAUGACAAGGUGAAGGUGAGAAAUGGUUACCAUCAAUCUAACCUGAAUUCAGUAUGACUGAAUGACAAGGUGAAGGUUAGAAAUGGUUACCAUCAAUCUAACCAGAAUUCAUAUAAUGCAUAUGACUAAUUGAGCAAGUAAGAUGGCUGCCAUGUUUACUCAAGUAAUCUUCAUUCAAACUAAAAAAAUCAAAAGUUGACAAA